rnacentral:misc_RNA from 1 species
CCGGCGCUGGUUCAGGUGGAGGAGGCGGGCCCUCGGCACGCAACACGAAGCUGAAGAUGGAAAAUUCGACGGUAAAGAUUGAAAAGUCGGAUGGCGGGAAGGAUGGUGGACCUACGGGGACUAGUGCCGUGGGGUCUACCACCGCGGGCGGCUCCGUAGCAGGGAUAGUGACGAAGGAGGACGCGGUAAAGAUUUUUACCGAAAAUUUGCAAACUAGUGGAGCUUAUAGUGCUAGAGAAGAAAGUUUGAAGAGAGAGGAGGAAGCCGGAG